rnacentral:tRNA from 2 species
UCCCUGGUGGUCCAGUGGUUGAGACUCUGAACUCCGAAUGCAGGGGGCCCAGGUUCAAUCCCUGGUCAGGGAA